rnacentral:rRNA from 1 species
GACGAACGCUGGCGGCGUGCUUAACACAUGCAAGUCGAACGGACAGGCCCUGCUUUUGUUGUGUGCUUGAUUGGCGAACGGGUGAGUAAAACGUGAGUAACCUGCCCUUGACUUUGGGAUAACUUCUGGAAACUGGGGCUCAUACCGGAUAGGAGCUUCUGCUGCGUGGUGGGGGUUGGAAAGUUUCGGCGGUUGGGGCUGGACUCGAGGCUUAUCAGCUUGUUGGUGGGGUUGUGGCAUACCAAGGCUUUGACGGGUAGCCGACCUGAGAGGGUGGCCGGCGACAUGGGGACUGAGAGACGGCCCAGACGCCUACGGGAGGCAGCAGUCGAGAAUAUUGCACAAUGGGCGGAAGCCUGAUGCAGCAACGCCGCGUGCGUGAUGACGUCCUUCUGGUGGUAAACCGCUUUCUCCGUUGACGAAGCGUGAGUGACGGUAAUGGGUAAAGAAGCACCGGCUAACUACGUG